AGCCGCCACUUCCGAGAGCGCCUGCCGCCCCUGCGCCGCCGAGCCAGCUGCCAGAAUGCCGAACUGGGGAGGAGGCAAGAAAUGUGGGGUGUGUCAGAAGACGGUUUACUUUGCCGAAGAGGUUCAGUGCGAAGGCAACAGCUUCCAUAAAUCCUGCUUCCUGUGCAUCCUGGCAUAAGGCCUGCUUUCGAUGUGCCAAGUGUGGCAAAGGCCUUGAGUCAACCACCCUGGCAGACAAGGAUGGCGAGAUUUACUGCAAAGGAUGUUAUGCUAAAAACUUCGGGCCCAAGGGCUUUGGUUUUGGGCAAGGAGCUGGGGCCUUGGUCCACUCUGAGUGAGGCCACCAUCACCCACCACACCCUGCCCACUCCUGC
rnacentral:lncRNA from 1 species